ensembl:lncRNA
AACAACGCAGUAAAUAAAACAAAACAGUUGUGCUGUCUGAAUUCCUUUCCAUUCCCUGCAGAGGAUCCACUGGUGAGCAAGUGACAUUAAACAAAAUUUCAAUGAAGAAACAAACUCAUCUGAUGCCUUGAUGGUCUUUGCGAGGCAACGCUUCCCUCCCUAAGGUUUCUAUUUUGUCUUCAUAUAAACAUGGACCCAUCAUUAUGAUGAGGGACUGCUUGGAGGCCUCGACAGAAUCCACAUGAUUCCCAGUGCAUGAGAUGGUGCUGAAGGGGAAGCUAAUCCUCACCCUGUCAUCUCCCCCAAAACUUCCACUUCCAGAUGUUUCCUGUAUUGUCACUCAUGUCUGCUUAUACGAGGGCCAAAAGGCUUUAGUAUGAAGUUUACAUUGUCUGAAAUGUCUUCUCUUUGAAUUUUGAAGCUCAUCACUCUGGAAAACAUCAUAAUUAGGGUCUUUUCACCCAUUAGUAGCAUUGGUUUACAUUGUACAACAACCCAUUACACUCUGUUUGGCUAAUAAAAACUGGCGCU